rnacentral:rRNA from 1 species
CCUACGGGUGACUGCAGUGGGGGAUAUUGCACAAUGGGGGAAACCCUGAUGCAGCGACGCCGCGUGUGGGAAGACGGUCCUCUGGAUUGUAAACCACUGUCCCCAGGGACGAAGAUGACGGUACCUGGGGAGGAAGCUCCGGCUAACUACGUGCCAGCAGCCGCGGUACUACGUAGGGAGCGAGCGUUGUCCGGAAUUACUGGGUGUAAAGGGAGCUUAGGCGGGACUGCAAAUUGGGUGUCAAAUCUACCGGCUCAACCGGGAGUCGCACUCAAAACUGCAGUUCUUGAGUUAAGUAGAGGCAGGCGGAAUUCCUAGUGUAGCGGUGAAAUGCGUAGAUAUUAGGAGGAACACCAGUGGCGAAGGCGGCCUGGUGGGCUUUUACUGACGCUGAGGCUCGAAAGUGUGGGGAGCAAACAGGAUUAGAUACCCGGGUAGUC